UCUUGGCCAGGUAUUGGUCUGUACGGGUUAUAGAGGACACGUGAUCGCUGCUGACUACGUGGCUCAGAUGGUCCCAGAGGACCGCCGUCAACACGUCCGAGUGAUGGACAUUGCCGCAGGUACCGGCGGCGUCGGCCUCAAGCUACACAAGAAAGGAUUCACGAACAUAGAUGCCCUGGAUCCAUCAGAAGGAAUGUUGAACAUUCUUACAGAAACUGGAGUGUACAGCCUUAUAUAUCAGGAGUUCAUAAGCCAGGACCCGACAACCAUUCCUGAAGGUG